rnacentral:lncRNA from 1 species
GGAUAUCCCUAAGAUUAGACACGAACAUACACCUCUCGACGUCAUACUUCUUGUCGACAGAAGUCAGUCGGAGAUACCCCACCUGCUCGGUGAGGCUUAGUCGGGGCAGGUCGUUGAUGCCCGGAGGGACAUCCUCCCAGUCUAGCCCCACUCCCCACGACACGCCGACAUCUUUUCUCAGCUCCGCCACAAGGAAAUUCUCUACCCAUCCCUUUAUUGAAUCCUUGUAGCCCGUGAAAAGAGACAAUCCACCACGAGGAGAAAAAUAGUAAAAUUUUUGAGUUGCCCUAACAAGGCGGAAGAAAGUGACAAAUAGACACGCUGUGGGUGUAAAACCCCAACUCAGGCAAAUGGACUCAAAAGAAGCC